rnacentral:rRNA from 1 species
GACGAACGCUGGCGGCGUGCCUAAUACAUGCAAGUUGAGCGCUGAAGGUUGGUACUUGUACCAACUGGAUGAGCAGCGAACGGGUGAGUAACGCGUGGGGAAUCUGCCUUUGAGCGGGGGACAACAUUUGGAAACGAAUGCUAAUACCGCAUAAAAACUUUAAACACAAGUUUUAAGUUUGAAAGAUGCAAUUGCAUCACUCAAAGAUGAUCCCGCGUUGUAUUAGCUAGUUGGUGAGGUAAAGGCUCACCAAGGCGAUGAUACAUAGCCGACCUGAGAGGGUGAUCGGCCACAUUGGGACUGGGACACGGCCCAAACUCCUACGGGAGGCAGCAGUAGGGAAUCUUCGGCAAUGGACGAAAGUCUGACCGAGCAACGCCGCGUGAGUGAAGAAGGGUGUCGGAUCGUAAAACUCUGUUGGUAGAGAAGAACGUUGGUGAGAGUGGAAAGCUCAUCAAGUGACGGUAACUACCCAGAAAGGGACGGCUAACUACGUG